rnacentral:rRNA from 2 species
UGUUAUGGAAGAACAAGUACAAGAGUAACUGCUUGUACCUUGACGGUACCUAACCAGAAAGCCACGGCUAACUACGUGCCAGCAGCCGCGGUAAUACGUAGGUGGCAAGCGUUGUCCGGAAUUAUUGGGCGUAAAGCGCGCGCAGGCGGUCCUUUAAGUCUGAUGUGAAAGCCCACGGCUCAACCGUGGAGGGUCAUUGGAAACUGGGGGACUUGAGUGCAGAAGAGAAGAGUGGAAUUCCACGUGUAGCGGUGAAAUGCGUAGAGAUGUGGAGGAACACCAGUGGCGAAGGCGACUCUUUGGUCUGUAACUGACGCUGAGGCGCGAAAGCGUGGGGAGCAAACAGGAUUAGAUACCCUGGUAGUCCACGCCGUAAACGAUGAGUGCUAAGUGUUAGAGGGUUUCCGCCCUUUAGUGC